UGGUAAAAAAAGGGGCUUAACCUUUAUAACAAGGGCUACAAUCUUGCACCU
rnacentral:tRNA from 1 species